rnacentral:rRNA from 1 species
AUUGAACGCUGGCGGCAGGCCUAACACAUGCAAGUCGAGCGGAUGAAGGGAGCUUGCUCCUGGAUUCAGCGGCGGACGGGUGAGUAAUGCCUAGGAAUCUGCCUGGUGGUGGGGGAUAACGUCCGGAAACGGGCGCUAAUACCGCAUACGUCCUGAGGGAGAAAGUGGGGGAUCUUCGGACCUCACGCUAUCAGAUGAGCCUAGGUCGGAUUAGCUAGUUGGUGGGGUAAAGGCCUACCAAGGCGACGAUCCGUAACUGGUCUGAGAGGAUGAUCAGUCACACUGGAACUGAGGCACGGUCCAGACUCCUACGGGAGGCAGCAGUGGGGAAUAUUGGACAAUGGGCGAAAGCCUGAUCCAGCCAUGCCGCGUGUGUGAAGAAGGUCUUCGGAUUGUAAAGCACUUUAAGUUGGGAGGAAGGGCAGUAAGUUAAUACCUUGCUGUUUUGACGUUACCAACAGAAUAAGCACCGGCUAACUUCGUG